rnacentral:rRNA from 1 species
AAAUUGAAGAGUUUGAUCAUGGCUCAGAUUGAACGCUGGCGGCAGGCCUAACACAUGCAAGUCGAGCGGUAGCACAGAGAGCUUGCUCUCGGGUGACGAGCGGCGGACGGGUGAGUAAUGUCUGGGAAACUGCCUGAUGGAGGGGGAUAACUACUGGAAACGGUAGCUAAUACCGCAUAACGUCGCAAGACCAAAGUGGGGGACCUUCGGGCCUCAUGCCAUCAGAUGUGCCCAGAUGGGAUUAGCUAGUAGGUGGGGUAAUGGCUCACCUAGGCGACGAUCCCUAGCUGGUCUGAGAGGAUGACCAGCCACACUGGAACUGAGACACGGUCCAGACUCCUACGGGAGGCAGCAGUGGGGAAUAUUGCACAAUGGGCGCAAGCCUGAUGCAGCCAUGCCGCGUGUGUGAAGAAGGCCUUCGGGUUGUAAAGCACUUUCAGCGGGGAGGAAGGCGAUAAGGUUAAUAACCUCAUCGAUUGACGUUACCCGCAGAAGAAGCACCGGCUAACUCCGUGCCAGCAGCCGCGGUAAUACGGAGGGUGCAAGCGUUAAUCGGAAUUACUGGGCGUAAAGCGCACGCAGGCGGUCUGUCAAGUCGGAUGUGAAAUCCCCGGGCUCAACCUGGGAACUGCAUUCGAAACUGGCAGGCUAGAGUCUUGUAGAGGGGGGUAGAAUUCCAGGUGUAGCGGUGAAAUGCGUAGAGAUCUGGAGGAAUACCGGUGGCGAAGGCGGCCCCCUGGACAAAGACUGACGCUCAGGUGCGAAAGCGUGGGGAGCAAACAGGAUUAGAUACCCUGGUAGUCCACGCCGUAAACGAUGUCGAUUUGGAGGUUGUGCCCUUGAGGCGUGGCUUCCGGAGCUAACGCGUUAAAUCGACCGCCUGGGGAGUACGGCCGCAAGGUUAAAACUCAAAUGAAUUGACGGGGGCCCGCACAAGCGGUGGAGCAUGUGGUUUAAUUCGAUGCAACGCGAAGAACCUUACCUGGUCUUGACAUCCACAGAACUUUCCAGAGAUGGAUUGGUGCCUUCGGGAACUGUGAGACAGGUGCUGCAUGGCUGUCGUCAGCUCGUGUUGUGAAAUGUUGGGUUAAGUCCCGCAACGAGCGCAACCCUUAUCCUUUGUUGCCAGCGGUUCGGCCGGGAACUCAAAGGAGACUGCCAGUGAUAAACUGGAGGAAGGUGGGGAUGACGUCAAGUCAUCAUGGCCCUUACGACCAGGGCUACACACGUGCUACAAUGGCAUAUACAAAGAGAAGCGACCUCGCGAGAGCAAGCGGACCUCAUAAAGUAUGUCGUAGUCCGGAUUGGAGUCUGCAACUCGACUCCAUGAAGUCGGAAUCGCUAGUAAUCGUAGAUCAGAAUGCUACGGUGAAUACGUUCCCGGGCCUUGUACACACCGCCCGUCACACCAUGGGAGUGGGUUGCAAAAGAAGUAGGUAGCUUAACCUUCGGGAGGGCGCUUACCACUUUGUGAUUCAUGACUGGGGUGAAGUCGUAACAAGGUAACCGUAGGGGAACCUGCGGUUGGAUCACCUCCUUA